UACGUAGGGUGCGAGCGUUAAUCGGAAUUACUGGGCGUAAAGCGUGCGUAGGCGGUCCGCAAAGUCUGAUGUGAAAUCCCCGGGCUUAACCUGGGAAUUGCGCUUGAAACUAGCGGGCUUGAGUGUGGCAGAGGGGGGUGGAAUUCCACGUGUAGCAGUGAAAUGCGUAGAGAUGUGGAGGAACACCGAUGGCGAAGGCAGCCCCCUGGGUCAACACUGACGCUCAUGCACGAAAGCGUGGGGAGCAAACAGG
rnacentral:rRNA from 1 species